rnacentral:rRNA from 1 species
UCAAUAAGCGGAGGAAAAGAAACCAACCGGGAUUGCCCUAGUAACGGCGAGUGAAGCGGCAAGAGCUCAAAUUUGAAAGCUGGCCCCCUCGGGGUCCGCAUUGUAAUUUGCAGAGGAUGCUUCGGGAGCGGUCCCCAUCUAAGUGCCCUGGAACGGGCCGUCAUAGAGGGUGAGAAUCCCGUAUGGGAUGGGGUGUCCGCGCCCGUGUGAAGCUCCUUCGACGAGUCGAGUUGUUUGGGAAUGCAGCUCUAAUUGGGUGGUAAAUUUCAUCUAAAGCUAAAUAUUGGCCGGAGACCGAUAGCGCACAAGUAGAGUGAUCGAAAGAUGAAAAGCACUUUGAAAAGAGAGUUAAACAGCACGUGAAAUUGUUGAAAGGGAAGCGCUUGCGAUCAGACUCGCUCGCGGGGUUCAGCCGGCCUUCGGGCCGGUGUACUUCCCCGCGGGCGGGCCAGCGUCGGUUUGGGCGGCCGGUCAAAGGCCCCUGGAAUGUAACGCCUCUCGGGGCGUCUUAUAGCCAGGGGUGCCAUGCGGCCUGCCCGGACCGAGGAACGCGCUUCGGCUCGGACGCUGGCAUAAUGGUCGUAAGCGACCCGUCUUGAAACACGGACCAAGGAGUCUAACAUCUACGCGAGUGUUCGGGUGUCAAACCCGUGCGCGCAGUGAAAGCGAACGGAGGUGGGAACCCCUCGGGGUGCACCAUCGACCGAUCCUGAUGUCUUCGGAUGGAUUUGAGUAAGAGCGUAGCUGUUGGGACCCGAAAGAUGGUGAACUAUGCCUGAAUAGGGCGAAGCCAGAGGAAACUCUGGUGGAGGCUCGCAGCGGUUCUGACGUGCAAAUCGAUCGUCAAAUUUGGGUAUAGGGGCGAAAGACUAAUCGAACCAUCUAGUAGCUGGUUCCUGCC